AAAUUGAAGAGUUUGAUCAUGGCUCAGAUUGAACGCUGGCGGCAGGCCUAACACAUGCAAGUCGAACGGUAACAGGAAGCAGCUUGCUGCUUCGCUGACGAGUGGCGGACGGGUGAGUAAUGUCUGGGAAACUGCCUGAUGGAGGGGGAUAACUAUUGGAAACGGUGGCUAAUACCGCAUAACGUCGCAAGACCAAAGAGGGGGACCUUCGGGCCUCUUGCCAUCAGAUGUGCCCAGAUGGGAUUAGCUAGUUGGUGAGGUAACGGCUCACCAAGGCGACGAUCCCUAGCUGGUCUGAGAGGAUGACCAGCCACACUGGAACUGAGACACGGUCCAGACUCCUACGGGAGGCAGCAGUGGGGAAUAUUGCACAAUGGGCGCAAGCCUGAUGCAGCCAUGCCGCGUGUAUGAAGAAGGCCUUCGGGUUGUAAAGUACUUUCAGCGGGGAGGAAGGUGUUGUGGUUAAUAACCGCAGCAAUUGACGUUACCCGCAGAAGAAGCACCGGCUAACUCCGUGCCAGCAGCCGCGGUAAUACGGAGGGUGCAAGCGUUAAUCGGAAUUACUGGGCGUAAAGCGCACGCAGGCGGUCUGUCAAGUCGGAUGUGAAAUCCCCGGGCUCAACCUGGGAACUGCAUUCGAAACUGGCAGGCUUGAGUCUUGUAGAGGGGGGUAGAAUUCCAGGUGUAGCGGUGAAAUGCGUAGAGAUCUGGAGGAAUACCGGUGGCGAAGGCGGCCCCCUGGACAAAGACUGACGCUCAGGUGCGAAAGCGUGGGGAGCAAACAGGAUUAGAUACCCUGGUAGUCCACGCCGUAAACGAUGUCUACUUGGAGGUUGUGCCCUUGAGGCGUGGCUUCCGGAGCUAACGCGUUAAGUAGACCGCCUGGGGAGUACGGCCGCAAGGUUAAAACUCAAAUGAAUUGACGGGGGCCCGCACAAGCGGUGGAGCAUGUGGUUUAAUUCGAUGCAACGCGAAGAACCUUACCUGGUCUUGACAUCCACAGAACUUUCCAGAGAUGGAUUGGUGCCUUCGGGAACUGUGAGACAGGUGCUGCAUGGCUGUCGUCAGCUCGUGUUGUGAAAUGUUGGGUUAAGUCCCGCAACGAGCGCAACCCUUAUCCUUUGUUGCCAGCGAUUAGGUCGGGAACUCAAAGGAGACUGCCAGUGAUAAACUGGAGGAAGGUGGGGAUGACGUCAAGUCAUCAUGGCCCUUACGACCAGGGCUACACACGUGCUACAAUGGCGCAUACAAAGAGAAGCGACCUCGCGAGAGCAAGCGGACCUCAUAAAGUGCGUCGUAGUCCGGAUUGGAGUCUGCAACUCGACUCCAUGAAGUCGGAAUCGCUAGUAAUCGUGGAUCAGAAUGCCACGGUGAAUACGUUCCCGGGCCUUGUACACACCGCCCGUCACACCAUGGGAGUGGGUUGCAAAAGAAGUAGGUAGCUUAACCUUCGGGAGGGCGCUUACCACUUUGUGAUUCAUGACUGGGGUGAAGUCGUAACAAGGUAACCGUAGGGGAACCUGCGGUUGGAUCACCUCCUUACCUUAAAGAA
rnacentral:rRNA from 1 species